AAUAUUGGACAAUGGGGGCAACCCUGAUCCAGCCAUGCCGCGUGAGUGAUGAAGGCCUUCGGGUUGUAAAACUCUUUCGACGGGGACGAUAAUGACGGUACCCGUAGAAGAAGCCCCGGCUAACUUCGUGCCAGCAGCCGCGGUAAUACGAAGGGGGCUAGCGUUGCUCGGAAUGACUGGGCGUAAAGGGCGCGUAGGCGGCUUGCACAGUCAGGCGUGAAAUUCCUGGGCUCAACCUGGGGACUGCGCUUGAGACGUGUGGGCUUGAGUGGGGAAGAGGGUCGUGGAAUUCCCAGUGUAGAGGUGAAAUUCGUAGAUAUUGGGAAGAACACCGGUGGCGAAGGCGGCGACCUGGUCCUUGACUGACGCUGAGGCGCGAAAGCGUGGGGAGCAAAC
rnacentral:rRNA from 1 species